rnacentral:rRNA from 1 species
AUUGAACGCUGUCGGCAUGCUUUACACAUGCAAGUCGAACGGCAGCGCGGGCUUCGGCCUGGCGGCGCGUGGCGAACGGGUGAGUAAUACAUCGGAACGUGCCCAGUAGUGGGGGAUAGCUCGGCGAAAGCCGGAUUAAUACCGCAUACGACCUGAGGGUGAAAGCGGGGGAUCUUCGGACCUCGCGCGAUUGGGGCGGCCGAUGGCAGAUUAGCUAGUUGGUGGGGUAAAGGCCUACCAAGGCGACGAUCUGUAGCUGGUCUGAGAGGACGACCAGCCACACUGGGACUGAGCCACGGCCCAGACUCCUACGGGAGGCAGCGGUGGGGAAUGUUGGACAAAGGGCGAAAGCCUGAUCCAGCACUGCCGCGUGUGGGAUGAAGGCCUUCGGGUUGUAAAGCACUUUUGGCGGGAACGAAAAGGACUGUGCCAAUACCACGGUUCGAUGACGGUACCCGCAGAAUAAGCACCGGCUAACUACGUG